UGGUGGCGAUAGCGAGAAGGAUACACCUGUAACCAUGCCGAACACAGAAGUUAAGCUUCUUAGCGCCGAUUGUAGUGAGG
rnacentral:rRNA from 1 species